rnacentral:rRNA from 1 species
AUGCUCGCACCCCUCUUCUCCCGAAACCCCAGCCUCCUCUUCCUCCCCGCCGUCGUCCGCAUCGCCCGCGGAGCAAUGUCGGCCUCGCCGGCCGCCAAGGCGACCGUCUCCGUCGAGUACGCCAAGUCCGGCCGCUCCUCCUGCAAGGGCUGCAGCGCCGCCAUCGCCAAGGGCGCGCUCCGCCUCGGCGCCUCCGCCCGCGACCCUCGGGGCUACGACAGCACCAAGUGGUACCACGUCGCCUGCUUCCCCGCCUCCUCGCUCCCGCUUGGCCCCGUCGAGGAGGUCCAGGGGUUCGACUCCAUUAAGGAUGACGAUCGCGAGGAGUUGCGAGAGCUUGAGAAGAAUAAUAAGAGAGACCAGACUGCAGUCAGUCCAUUGGAAGUACCAAGUCCGAAGAAAGCAAAGGUUUCGCCUAAAGCAGAGGUGGCAGAAAAAGGAAGUGUCUCUGUUGAAUAUGCCAAGUCCGCCCGUUCCACCUGCAAGGCCUGCAAUGCAAGCAUCGCCAAGGGCGCUCUUCGCAUUGGCGUCUCAGUCCAUGACCCCCGUGGCUUCGACAGCACCAAGUGGUACCAUGUCGCCUGCUUCCCCACCUCGUCGCAUCCACUAGGCCCUGUUGAGAAGCUCAAGGGGUUCGACUCCAUUAAGGAUGAUGAUCGUGAGGAGUUACGGGAGCUAGAGAAGAAUAAAAAGGGAGACCAGGCUGCAGUUGGUCCAGUGGAACUAUCAAGUCCGAACAAAGGAAAUUCCCAUAUAUCUUUACCUGAAGUAGAGGUGGCUGAAAAGUCGUCUCCAGGGAACAAAACAGUUGGUACAGCGAUACCCUUUUCGCCUUCUGAUAUCAAGAAAACAUACAAGGAUGCUACCCUUCCCACUCAUUGGAAGGCUUUUGAUACCGUUAUUUUCCGUGAGCAGGAUGAUGGCCUUCAUGCUUCAGCUAAGAUUGCUGCUUUUGAUUUUGACGGGUGCCUCGCCAAAACCUCAGUGAAGAUCAUUGGUGCAGACAAGUGGUCUUUACAGCACAAAUCAAUUCCUGACAAGUUGCAAAGCCUGUACAAUGAUGGCUACAAGUUGGUCAUAUUCACCAAUGAGUCAAACAUUGAGCGCUGGAAGAAUAAGCGGCAGCAAGCUGUUGACUCAAAAGUUGGACGCCUUGACAACUUUAUUGAGUGUGUUAAAGUCCCUAUUCAGGUUUUCAUUGCGUGUGGUACAGGGAAAGGAAAAGGCACACCGGAUGAUCUGUUUCGCAAACCAAAUUCAGGAAUGUGGUGGUUGAUGGCAGAGCAUUUCAAUUCUGGAAUUGCCAUCGACAUGGACCAAUCUUUCUAUGUUGGUGAUGCUGCUGGGAGAGAGAAUGAUCAUAGUGACGCUGAUAUAGAAUUUGCUAAGGCCAUCGGUCUGAAGUUUCACGUUCCUGAAGAAUUCUUCGGUCCCUAG